GUUUCAGCCGCCGCGGUAAGACAGAGGGUGCAAACGUUGUUCGGAAUUACUGGGCGUAAAGCGAGUGUAGGCUGUCUCAUAAGUCAGGUGUGAAAGCCCCGGGCUCAACCCGGGAAGUGCACUUGAAACUGCGAGGCUAGAGUAUCGGAGAGGUUGGUGGAAUUCUCGGUGUAGAGGUGAAAUUCGUAGAUAUCGAGAGGAACACCGGUGGCGAAGGCGGCCAACUGGACGAAUACUGACGCUGAGACUCGAAAGCGUGGGGAGCAAACAGGAUUAGAUACCCCUGUAGUCC
rnacentral:rRNA from 1 species